ACUGAACGCUGGCGGCAGGCCUAACACAUGCAAGUCGAGCGUGCGGCGGACGGGUGAGUAAUGUAUGGGGACUGCCCGAUAGCGGGGGAUAACUACUGGAAACGGUAGCUAAUACCGCAUUCUAUCGGAUAACCUAUAUGGGAUUAGCUAGUAGGUGAGGUAAUGGCUCACCUAGGCGACCAUCCCUAGCCGGUCUGAGAGGAUGAUCAGCCACACUGGGACUGAGACACGGCCCAGACUCCUACGGAGGCAGCAGUGGGGAAUAUUGCACAAUGGGCGCAAGCCUGAUGCAGCAAUGCCGCGUGUAUGAAGAAGGCCCUAGGGUUGUAAAGUUCUUUCAGUCGGGAGGCGUUACCUACAGAGGAAGCACCGGCUAACUCCGUGCCAGCAGCCGCGGUAAUUC
rnacentral:rRNA from 1 species